GGUGGGGAUGACGUCAAGUCAUCAUGGCCCUUACGACCAGGGCUACACACGUGCUACAAUGGCGCAUACAAAGAGAAGCGACCUCGCGAGAGCAAGCGGACCUCAUAAAGUGCGUCGUAGUCCGGAUUGGAGUCUGCAACUCGACUCCAUGAAGUCGGAAUCGCUAGUAAUCGUGGAUCAGAAUGCCACGGUGAAUACGUUCCCGGGCCUUGUACACACCGCCCGUCACACCAUGGGAGUGGGUUGCAAAAGAAGUAGGUAGCUUAACCUUCGGGAGGGCGCUUACCACUUUGUGAUUCAUGACUGGGGUGAAGUCGUAACAAGGUAACCGUAGGGGAACCUGC
rnacentral:rRNA from 1 species